rnacentral:rRNA from 1 species
GUCUACGGCCACGCCACCCUGAACGAGCCCAAUCCCGUCUGCUCUCGGAAGCUAAACAGGGUACUUGGAUGGGAGACCACUGAGGGAGACCAGGUGCUGUAGACG